GUUAUGAAUUCAUAGUCCUGCUCACACGUAGGGUGGGUGCGGGGAGGAAGGGGAGAAGGAGGGAUUUUGGGGUUCCCCGCUUCCCUCCUCUGUCCGCUCCUCGCCUUCCAUCCGUCCGCCUGGAGUCCCCCAGCUGGUGGUGCGGAGGGCAGAACUUCAGGCAGAGGGUUGGCGGGAUGAGAAGACGCACAGUCCUCUGCUCCCUCCAGGCCUGCAAGCUUCCUGGGGGAGAUGGGUGCACCCCGCCCUGGAGAUUAAACCAGAAGAAAAUGAUGUGGUGACCAUUUCUGAGCCCAGCUAUUCCAUAUGGAAUGCAGUGUCCCAUGCCCUCCAUAAAACGCUGUUGAACAAAAUUGAAAUGGGAUCUAAAGCAUACAGAAACAUGGACCGGCUUCUUCCAUGCCAGGUGGCUACACCUGAUCACCCUAUGUGUCAUCACCUGUGGGAUCAUAACUGCCACAACACUGCAGAAAACUCAGAAACACAAAACCAGCCCAAAGCACAGCCAUGUUUUCCUCCAAGAGUGAAGUAGUGUCAUGUACACUUUAUGCUUUUUGUGUGUGUGAGCAGAGGAGAGCAACUGAAAUUGUUGUGCAUGUACAAUACAGGUCAAUUACUUGUUUGUAUUAAAAUUUGGAAUAAAUUCUCUCAA